rnacentral:rRNA from 1 species
AUUGAACGCUGGCGGCAGGCUUAACACAUGCAAGUCGAGCGAGAGGCGGACGGGUGAGUAAUGUCUGGGCAACUGCCUGAUGGAGGGGGAUAACUACUGGACACGGUACCUAAUACCGCAUACCAUCAGAUGUGCACAGAUGGGAUUAGCUAGUAGGUGGGGUAAUGUCUCACCUAGGCGACGAUCCCUAGCUGGUCUGAGAGGAGGACCAGCCCCACUGGAACUGAGACGAGGUCCAGACUCCUACGGGAGGCAGCAGUGGGGAAUAUUGCACUAGGGGCGCAAGCCUGAGGCAGACAUGCCGCGUGUGUGAAGAAGGCCUUCGGGUUGUAAAGCACUUUCAGUGAGGAGGCGUUACCCGCAGAAGAAGCACCGGCUAACUCCGUGCCAGCCGCCGCGGUAAUUC